rnacentral:rRNA from 1 species
GGAUUAGAUACCCUAUUAUACUUUAAAAAGUUUGUGUUGCUAGGAGAUUAAUAGUUAUAAUCUUUAAAUUUAAAGAAUUUGGCGGUAUCUUAGUCUUGUUAGAGGAACCUGUCUUAUAAACGAUAAACCACGAAAAAUCUUACUUAUUUAAAUUAUUUAGUUUGUAUACCGUCAUUAUAGAGGACUUUAAGAGAAAAGAUGAGUUGUUAAAAUUAAUUGGGAUUAAGAAUAUUAGAUCAAGGUGCAAUUAAUAAAUAAGGUAAGGUGGGUUACAAUGUGAUUAACAUAAACGGAUUGGAAGGGGAAGCUAUUUUAUGAAGGAGGAUUUAAUUGUAAGUAGGUUUUAAUAUGGCUUGCUGAUAGGGGCUCUAAGUUAUGUACAUAUCGCCCGUC